rnacentral:rRNA from 1 species
GUAGUCAUAUGCUUGUCUCAAAGAUUAAGCCAUGCAUGUCUCAGUACAAGCCAAAUUAAGGUGAAACCGCGAAAGGCUCAUUAAAUCAGUUAUGGUUCCUUAGAUCGUACACCACUUACUUGGAUAACUGUGGUAAUUCUAGAGCUAAUACAUGCAAACAGAGCUCCGACCGGAGACGGAAGGAGCGCUUUUAUUAGAUCAAAACCAAUCGGUCUCGUGGGCUUGCCCACUGCCGUACAACUUGGUGACUCUGAAUAACUUACUGCUGAUCGCACGGUCCAGCACCGGCGACGCAUCUUUCAAAUGUCUGCCUUAUCAACUGUCGAUGGUAGGUUCUGCGCCUACCAUGGUUGCAACGGGUAACGGGGAAU